CGACGUUUCCUUCGAUCCCCGAGUGGCUUGAUAAAAACUAUAAGAAAAAGAAAAUAAAGAGAGUAAGCACUAGGCUUAGUAAGCUUACAAGCAAAUAAAUUACAACAUUCAACAUAAUGAAUAAUUAUACAUAAUGUCACCUAGCCUCAUAAACUUUCUUUUCUUCUCAUUUUCUACCUUCUUCUUUACUCACUUACCUUCUUUCUUACCUGACCUUUCACUAUUCAUAAAUAUAAUCUACCUUCCCUUUUGCUGAUAAUUCAUUGUAAUUUAACGUGUACAAUGACCCGUUGAACCACUUGGAAUACUAAGGAUACUAGGGUCGUUCCUGUCUAUCAAUAUCCUGCCAAUGCCAUGUCUUCGACAUGGACUUACAUGAAUUAUUCCUGU
rnacentral:lncRNA from 1 species